UACGUAGGGUACAAGCGUUAAUCGGAAUUACUGGGCGUAAAGCGUGCGCAGGCGGUGAUGUAAGACAGGUGUGAAAUCCCCGGGCUUAACCUGGGAACUGCAUUUGUGACUGCAUCGCUGGAGUGCGGCAGAGGGGAUGGAAUUCCGCGUGUAGCAGUGAAAUGCGUAGAUAUGCGGAGGAACACCGAUGGCGAAGGCAAUCCCCUGGGCCUGCACUGACGCUCAUGCACGAAAGCGUGGGGAGCAACAGG
rnacentral:rRNA from 1 species